rnacentral:rRNA from 1 species
UACGGAGGAUGCAGGCGUUAUCCGGAUUUAUUGGGUUUAAAGGGUCCGCAGGCGGGAUCAUAAGUCAGUGGUGAAAUCCUAUAGCUUAACUAUAGAACUGCCAUUGAUACUGUGAUUCUUGAAUGUGGUUGACGUGGGCGGAAUAUGACAUGUAGCGGUGAAAUGCUUAGAUAUGUCAUAGAACACCAAUUGCGAAGGCAGCUCACGAAACCAUUAUUGACGCUCAGGGACGAAAGUGUGGGUAGCAAACAGG